UGCAUCGGACUUGACUCCUUGGUACUCUUUGGGGGUAUUUCAAUCUGGGCACAACAUUUGGGGGCUCAUGUGGGAUCCCCAAGACGACAGGACUCAAUCCCAAGGAGAACAGCCAGCUAAUCAGAAAGAGAAAAGAUCCUAAUAGAAUCUAGAAAGUUGGUCCCAGGAGAGAAUGGAGAGCCAACAAUAAAUCCAGGUCUUGUUAACCAGGCUUUUCCCUUGUCCAGACCUGACUGGGACUACAACACAGCUGAAGCCUUCCAUUGGCCCCCAAAAGCCAAGCCAUAUUUGCCUUUGAGUGGCUGGACCCAGAUGAAGGAAUUAAUGGACAACUGACUCGGACUAGACUGCCUCAAGGGUUUAUGAACUCAUCCACCAUCUUCAAUG